AUACGUAGGGGGCGAGCGUUGUCCGGAUUUACUGGGCGUAAAGAGCGCGCAGGUGGUUGAUUAAGUCUGAUGUGAAAGGCUACGGCUCAACCGUAGUAAGCCUUUGAAACUGGGAAACUUGAGUGCAGGAGAGGAGAGUGGAAUUCCUAGUGUAGCGGUGAAAUGCGUAGAUAUUAGGAGGAACACCAGUGGCGAAGGCGGCUUUCUGGACUGUAACUGACACUGAGGCACGAAAGCGUGGGGAGC
rnacentral:rRNA from 1 species